rnacentral:tRNA from 1 species
GGCGGGAUAGCUCAGUCGGUUAGAGCGAUGGCUUCAUAAGCCAUAGGUCGGCGGUUCAAGUCCGCCUCCCGCUACCA